GUUUCUGUUUUUACAAUUCUGGUAAAUGCAGGCUCAUUCACAUGAAAGGAAUUGCAGUGAUCCAGUAUUGCUUAUUCAUUAUGCUUUGUAAGCCUAAGUUUCACAGAAUUCAGGCAUAGAAAAAUGGUCUGUAUCUUGAUCUUGCUUGUUAUGUUGUAUAGAAAGAGGCACUAUUGGGACUUGACAGUGCUGAACUGCUGAGGAAGACAACAGUCUGGAAGGUAUUGGGGAGAUACGAAGAAAGCAGUUAAGUUUUCCAUUUCCUUGUUUUAGCUGCUGCUCAUUUCCGGUGACUGGCAUAGUGAGCACCUCAUGAGUCUUCGUAGUAAUGCGUUCAUGGACCACUCGGUUUCCACAGUUUCACUCUUGAAAAGUGGCCUAACAGUCUGAAAGUACUUAUGCAGGGUAUAGCUAGUACAAAAGAAAACUUUUAGUGAAGGACCAUAUUUUUCAUUCCAAGCCAUAAGAUCAUGAAUUCCUAACAUUAUGAUGGGUCUUAGAACCAUGAAGUUUCUAAUUGUUAAAGAGGAGAUACUUUUACCCAUUACUCAUACUGCCAGGAUGAAUCCCAACAUAACACUACAGAAGGAAAUAAAGCUAAAGAAAAAAUAAAAAGAGCCUGUAGCAUCCAGAUUGUUCAGCCAUUUUUAUAUUUUAUAUCAAGGCUUUGGGAUUUCUCAAAGUCAGUUCUAAAAAAAUAAACCCAUCUAGGACAAAGCAUUGUUAAGAGUUUCCUUUCCAGUACAAUAAAAACUUUAAUGGAAUCAACCAGGUGAGAAUGAAUACGUGAGAAGUACUCAGAGAAGUUCUCACUGCCUAAGGACUGUAAGUACUACCUGUGUGUUGACUGCUGUGAUAGAUUACUUCUUUAAGACUCAGCCUUAGACCCUGCUGUAUUACCUACCACAUGAAGAUCACUGCCUUGCUUCCUUUCUAUGAUAGAACCAUCUAGGAAGCGUGAGAACUCAGUUGCAGACUUAUGCUGCAAUAGGUUAGUGCCUACUCAAAAACUAACCAAACCAAAUUGGUGGUUGUUACUAUUUUCAUUAUUAUUAUUUUUAUGGCAAUUUCAAAGCACGAAUAACUCAGCGUUCCUUUUGUUUUAAUUUUUCAUUAUCAUUUAAAGAAUCCACACAUUUGCUAACUCUGGAAAGCGUACAGUUGUGUUUACUAAAACAUGUGGAUGUCUACUGUAAAUGCUUCAUGCCCAGAAUUUACUUCCACAUGUGCCUAUCAGGCAUGAUGAUAAUAUUUUACUCCUGGAGAAUUAAUGCAUAGAGUAUAAAUGUAUAUAAUGUGCUUCAUAAGAUAUCUUUCAUCCCUAUGUUGAGUAAAAUGCAAGUAUUUAAUUGAAUGUAAAAAUUGAUCCUAUAGUUAUUUAUUUGCUCUCUUCUCAGGAUAAAUUGAGUCUGAUUACUAAAACAGAAUUUGCACUGACUUUUAUGAAGAUUCCAUAGCCUCCUGAGACAACGACCUGAAACUGUCCUUAUUUAAAGUCCCCAAAAGGAGCUUGCAAAAUCUUGGAAGGAUUUUUUAAAUCUUAUGAAAAGUGGAAAGAAAUAAAGUAAAAGACUUUUCCACAAAAAGAAAUCAGAAAACGUAACGUUGGAAACCAAGAAGUACUUAAUUUAUUGGCAUUUAAAAUUCUCACUACUCAAAUUUCUUUUUCAUUGUGAAUUUUACAUUGAUUAUGCACUUCAUUUCAAAAGUAUUUAAAAUUUGCUUUCUAUUUUUAAGCCAUGAAAACAGAUGAAAAUUGAAAUGUAAAAUUUCAGUAAUACAGAAGUAACUGUAAUU